AUAAGUGCCAAAAUCAAGAGUAAGAAAAAUAAUAAACAUGGCAAUAUCGAUUGCAAUACCGCACUCACCUUUUUUGUUGGUAAUAUACUCUUUAUACUCCUGCACUUAUUAAAAGGACGAUUCCGAAAUUCUGUGACAACCCAAUUGAACAGUUAAUAUUUACAUGGACAUUUUCGAAUAAAUUAGCACAAAAAUGUAACAUUUAGCAAACGUGAACAGAAAGGGUAUUUUAGGGGAGCGUGGUUGUUUAACGUGUCUUUCUUUUAAAGUGACUGCUGGUAAAAGUUGCUGGAUUUGUCUGUGAGCUGAACUCGCUGUCCAUUACAGACCCCUUUGUUUCGCCUUAACAAUUGCUCUUUAUUUCCGUGCUGUACUUGGCAUCGUUUAGCUGCCUGACUCCAAACUUAACCACCCCGGUUCUUCUACUUAAAGCACUCAAAUCGCCCUCUUCUACAAAUAUAUUGUCAAAGAGAUGGACUUCACCACAUUCUGAAACAGCAAGACCAGGGGAUUUUUUCUAUAGUCUGCUCAGUAUUGCACGGCAACAUCACUAGAGGAUAAAGUGCUUCAAUAAGAACUAAAGUGACGGACAAAAAAGUGUCGCAUGUCUAACGCUCUGCCAAUCAGACUUUUCUUCUUUUCUGAGCAACUCAUAUUGUUUAAGAUAAAGGAAAAAGACUGUAUGCCCGACGAUUUUAAAAAAUGAGUUACAGAGUACAUUUGGCUACUUAAGAAGAACGAGGUGAUGUUUUGAAUUUUUGGAACCUGGGCAUCCAAAGGUUCACUGCAAGAUGGAUUUUAUCCUGGCAGCUUUGGACACAAAACAUGAAUUUCACAUGGACUGAAUGCUAGGCCAUCGCAGGAGGAAGUGGCAAGAUGGAAAAAAGACGAUGCAACCUCCAUAAAAAUACCAUUGGAGCUGAACCUUGAUUAAAGCACUGUGAAACAACAUGUCUUCCCAUUAUACCAGUGAAAGGAAAUCUACAAAAAUAAAUUAACAAAAGCUAAUGAUGGCUUAUAAAACAAGAACUGAGAGCAUCAUCAUCAACAUCUAUUCAGAACUACACUCUUUGCGUCUAUGUUUUGUGAUACCAUUUGUGUAAUACUGCUACAAAACCCAGUUAUACAACUGCUGGUGAACACUCAUUAAAGCUUUUGUCUCCCUCCCUAUAAAACCCUUUUGCUUGUGUCUGUUCUAAACAUUUGAUCUGCUUUGAUAUUAAAUGCAACAGAAGACUCAUUGGCUUCCUUUGACUUUUAAUUACUUCCCCUUUAUGUAUAGGUCUCCAUGAUUUCUGCUAUUUAGUGUGAUAGCAAAGCCACAUAAUAUUAACUUAGUCUAUUUGCCUUAAGCCAUUUCUUAUCAAAAUAAUCUGGUAUUUCUUGUACUCUGUUGUAUUAAUUUCUUCUCUAGCUAUUAUAAAUAAGACUCUGAAAUAAAGACAAAAAAGCUGGGGCACCAUAGUGAUCAGGCCUUUAAUGACCUCUUAGGCACAGCCAUCAGCA